rnacentral:lncRNA from 1 species
UAAUAGGUUGACAAAAAAAGAUAGCAUUGCCUGAUUGCUUGGCAAAUAAAAAAAAUUACAUCGGCUGAUUGGUUCCAGCAAAAUAGUAUCGGCUGCUUGUUGAUCAGAAAAAGCCGAUACUGUUACAGCUCCCGCAACUGUGCUUUGCUGUCAUCGGCUGGGUCUCCAUCUGCAAAUAUUUGUCCCGGCUAGAAAGUAUCGUACGUGCAUUGGGAUUCGGCAGUACAAAUCACGUACACGCGUAUGGUCUGCUCAGAAGCUGUCUGUUCGACGAAGUUCCAGGCCAAUGGUGGAGACUUGAUGACCAUGGUGACCUGCAUUAAUCAACAUGAAGUAUGUAUCGGCUGUUCGGUGAUUGGUAGCAAAUCAGCUUUCUCAUAGCCGGUGACAUAUGGGGCAAGAAAUAUCAGGCUUAAAAAAGGACAGUACGACGGUUCUAUUAUUGUGCAGUCGAUGGAACAUAGAAGAUGCAUCUGAAUGAGCAAAAGGAAGGGAGCCGAUAGAAGGGAAUUUAAGUUGCAUGAGAUCCAAUUAAAUUAAGAUGACGAGAGGUGUUGACAUCGAAUCAUCGGACUUCUAUGAAGCCUUCUGUUGGCGCUAGAAAUCGGUCAACCGAAUCCCCAGCAUCUGACACACGACCCGGGAGAAUCUGCUUAGCUCCUGUUCGGGUGAUCGCCCUGGUGCGGAUUCGCGCGGCGUGCCAGCCAAUCUGACCUGUUGAUUGGCAAGGAAAUAGUCAUGUUAAUUCCCAGGGUUUGCGAUCGGCUAAGGUUCCGAUCUCAAGAAAGCUUAUCAGCGAAUCGGCUGAUUUGCAGUAAUAAAGGAAUCGGCUAUGAUCCAACCGAUUACUGUAGCACCGUAAACGAAAACUACGGGAGUAGUUAACACAACACUACUAUAACAACACCAGGAAUAGAUCUGAUCGGCUAUGUAUGAAAUAGGUAGAUUAAACAGCGAAGUAUAAAGAAAGCCGAUGUUGCCGAUUCCUAGCUGGAUAACUGAUGAUAAAACUAGAAUACAGGUAAAACCUAUAAUUCUAGUAAAUAUCGAUAACUGGUGAAUAAAUUUAAACGAAACGACAGCGAUGCGCCCGAAGUUAAAUCCUAGAAUUUAAUCGAUAAACGAAACUUACAAGAUCGGCUGGAGGUCAAGUUGAUGCAGCCCCGCCAACCCGUAUGAACUCGUGAAAAAGAAGAAAAGUAUUGGCGAAGUCGCCUGCUUGAAAGUAAGUACGAAGAAAUAGUAGUUUGUUGUAUUGAGUAGUUGAUUGAUUACAGAUCUACAAAGAUAGCUAUUUAUAGCCCCGUACAGAUGACUUCUUAUCUGACUAGAACUCUAUCCCUAAUUCAAAUAGAAAACGAAUAUUUACGAGUACGAUUCGUACUAGGUUGGUUAUUAUACGCUUCACGGGCUGAUCUCCCCUUCAUCCUUCUAUUCCUUUCCAAGCCCAUACCAGCCCAAUUAUUCCAACCUCCCAAUCGGCCGAUUCCUCUUCGGCAAAGGGUAACCAAUGGGGAACCUGGCAUGUCCGAUCCGAACCCCAAGGGUUAAGCGAAGCAGAAGUCAUCGGCCGAUCCCGUACUGUAGCAUCGGCCGAUCUUGGACUGUAGCGCCAACCAACCGAUCUCGAACUGUAGCGCCAUUCGGCCGAUCUCCACCUGUACUUUCCCAUUUCCUCUUCUCCUGGCGCCGAUUUCACUUGUGACGAAAUCUGGCGUCAACACAUGCCCCCCAGUUUCAGAGUAAAACAUAGUCUUUUACUUCGAAAUUCUUUUCAACUUCCCCUCCAAAACAGCCGCAAUGAAAAUAUCCUUCCGUUUCGCGGUCUUCCAGCUGAUGAUUGCAACCUUUUCGAAACGGGCGCCCACGACAACCACUACUCCCGAAAAAACUCGAAACGCCGGCGCGGUAAAAAUUCCAUUUUUACCCUUCAUCAGGCGCCCUUUAAAUAGAAAUUCACCCCGCACCUCCCUUUCAAGCUCACGUCCUUCUUCCUCAGCGCGCGCGCCUUCUUCUUCCCUUAGCACUUUCCCUUAGCUCCGAAGCUUCCUAGCGCCAUCUUCCUGUUGCUUCUCCUCCUCCCCUCCAAUGGCUGCACCUUCAGGCAACUCUCCCGCGCGCAAUGCUCCAGAAAUGGCGCCCCCGGCGGAAGUGGCGACAGCGGUUGCUCCGUCGUCAGAAGAAGGAUCUUCAUCGGAGAUCCCAAUGGCGAUCCCCAUAGCGGCCUCAUCCUCUACAGCUGCACCGGCGGUCACGCCGACUACAAGGAAUUUCAUCCCAGAGGUUAUUACCGAAUCCUUCCUCUAUCGGCAAUGCAUUUACUUUAGAUCUAUUUCUUACUUUUGCACCCCCCUUUCCUUUUUAGGCGGCUAGACAUCGCAUCACCAUCCAUCUUACGGGAAAUCCCGGCCUUAUCUGUCUCGGACCCAUGGGGAACCCAGAUCCAAUCGAGCUCAUCAAUUUAGAAACCCACAGAAUCCCCUUCAAAUAAUCCACCAUGGACCUGGAUCACUGGUUGGGCACCUUUAGGUCUUUGGCCGAAUGAAACCCCUGGUUGGAGGGAAUGGUACCAACGGAUAGCCGAACCGAAGAGGGUCCAAUGGGACGAGCUCAAAAUCGGCCAAUGCAUCAACCUGUCUUUGUCCCAGAUGGAGCGAAAUGAACCAUUGGUGAUAGCAGCCUCUUACUUUUGGUCUGAUGCCCUCAAUGCAUUCUUGUUUGGACAUGGACCUAUGACCCCCACACUGGCCAAUGUGGUUCUGCUGACUGGCCUUGACAUCUCCUCCCCGGACACACCUUUCCGCCUCUUAGGCGCAACGUCGCAUCGGCUGGACACGAGAGGAAUCGGCGGGUGGAAAGGAUUUAUCAGAUGCAACAAAAGGGCCGGGUCUGUUGAGAACAUGGAGCACACGGCCUUCUUAAUGAUGUGGUUGAAAAAACAUUUCUUUUGCGGAAGAGCAGCCGGCCCAUCAACCAACACCUAGGCUUUAGCCGAAGCACUAUCGGCAGGAACGCCUGUUCCCCUUGGAAAACACUUGCUAGGGGCGACCUACCACAUGCUCCACUAAAUCGGCACCAAACUUUCCAAGGGGCAGCCGAUUGGAAAUCCAGGCGGACCCUGGUGGUUCAUCAAUUUGUGGCUGAACCUUCAUAUGAGCAAGAUCUCUCAGCAGAGGGUGGAACACAUGAUGUUCCCCAACAUUGAAUCGGCAGAAGAUCCUACUGCUCGUCACCGAUGCACAUCUUUUGGUGAAGUGGCGUCAGCCUUCCCGGGUUGCUUGUACUCUGCUACAAAAGUGGCUGAGUACUUCCGAUGCUUUUACAAUGGCUUUAAUGAAGAUGCAACCGUCUGGUUUCCUUAUCAGCGAGAUGACUCAAUCUUCGAACUCCCAACUUGCUUCGACUCGACCACUGGCCGAUUCGAUGAAGAACUCAUCGAUGAAUUAAUCAAGCUAGGAAUCCUGCCAGCCAACUUCUUUUCGGGGAAAGAUGCCCCUACAUAUGAGUUCUACAAUCCAUCUGCUGCAGCACGCCAACUCGGCAUGAGUCAGCUGCCGAUUCAAGUAUAUUUUGCUAGCCGAGCCAAGUUCAGAGAUGGGCUCACAACAGGUCUGGACUACAAUCGGCUACGAGAUCGGAUCCCAGACUCCACCACCAUUGACUUGAACAAUUGGAUAGUGGCUCCCUUCGCCGUCCAGCCAUUUAAGCUUUGGUGGGCCGAAUGGAAACAAUUCCUUUUCUGCAACUCCGCAUCGGCAUACUGCAAUCUCCUGGACCCAACCAACAUCGACCCAAAUGCCGAGGUAUUUUUCCUUAGCCGAUUUUUUAUUCUUUUGUCAACGCGGCUGAACACUAACGUUUUGCUAUUGUUUCAGUCUGAGAACCGUGUCCCCGCCAUGCACAGUCGGAGUGGUCGGCUAAUAGAGGAUCACCAUCCGUACACCACCUUCCCUCUCAUCGGCUAUGAUGCUCCGUCCGUGGACAUGAUUGCUGGCCGAUCGAAGCAAGCACAGAAGAAAGUCACCAAGAAGACCAGCCGCCGAGUCCGGGCCCAUAUAGAAUCGGCGGAUCCUCCCAUGCUCGUAUCGGCAGAGACUUCGGCCGCACCACCCCCUCAAGCUACCAGAGAGAUCGACACUCAAGUCGUUGCACAAGCUAGGGCAGCCGCCGCGUCACUGUUGUUAGAGGCCGUGCAGGUAAACUUAUGUUUUAACCCUUCCGAUUGUCGUUUCGAUAUUAAUCCUUCUUAUCUUAGACUGCACAGACUACCCCAUGGACACACAACAAUCAGCAGCAACCCAAUCGGCCAUCGACGCACCCCCGCUUCCAUCCAUUGAGGUAUAACACAAUUUCACCGAUUCCCCUAGUAUUUGAAUAAUAUGCUUACUCAACCUUCUGACACAGGUCAUCGGCACGCCAAGCGCUCCUCAACCACUGGUCCCCUCUCGGGAAGCUGGUCCAAGCACAGCGCCAAUCAUCGUGGAGCCUUCCUCUUCUGAUGAACCCAUGGCACCAGCCCCUGAGCUGAGGAUGACAGCUUCCCAAAUGCAGCUUGAGGAGAUUCGAUUCAAAGAGGUAAGAAAUCUUUCAACUUUAUUUAGCCGAUUUGCUAUCACCAUCAGCCGAUUUAUUUUCUUCUUUACUAUUUCCAGGAACAGGACACCCCUGACAACAGCCUCUUCUCUUUUGCGGUCGCCCUCUCUGACGACGAAGAAGUCGCCUCCUGCCAGAUCACCUUGAGCUCCAUCCCCGACGACGUCCGAGCCAAGCUUACCAACAUCCGAUCCCUUCUUCAAGGAGACAUCGGCCGAUUGGUAGAAGAUGCCUCGCCGAUUCGGCAGCUCUUUGGUGACGUCAGCGGACGAGUACCAGAAGAAGCGGAGGAAGCCUUGGCGCCGGCUGCAUACAUCGAGUCGAUGAGGAUCCCGGUUUUCAGAGCCCUUCGUCACAUGGCCGAUCGCGCCAAGUUGGCCAAGACUCGCGAAGAAGAGGAUGCGUAUAAAUGUCAGGCCCAAGAGGUACACCAACGCAUUCACUUUCUGGAGGACUCCCGCCCAGGGAUCGUCGGCGAGAUAGACCGCCUCAAACGCCAAAGGGCAGAGCUCGCCAAGGAGAUGGAGCAGGUGACCAAGGCAAUAAGUGCUGAAGAGAAAAGACUCCAAGAGCUCCCCUCUGUCAUCGCCGAUCUAAAACAGGAGAGGCAGCAUUUGGCCCAUGAAGCCCUGAAGCUCCACCGUAGCGCGUCAGAAGUCCCUGGAUUGGCGGAUGAUGACCAACGGGUCUUGGACUCUGCCGAUCAGAUCCGGCGUCGAGCGAUUGCGGCUAUCGAUGCCCUUCUGGGUAAUCUGUAAAAGCACUGACUAUUUGUACGAACCUUUAAUGGCUGCUUUGAGCGUCCCUCGUGACGUCUCUUUUAUUUAUUACCUUUCCUACUUCCGACGGGACGCACCUUUACGCCUCGUUUUCUUAUAAAUGCCGGCCUAGACCCUCCUUCCGAGAGUACCAGUUUGGCUCGGCUUUGUUUUCUCAACCUGCUCUCGUCGGCGCGACCUUCGGCUAUGUCUUCAUCAUCUUCUUCUUCCUCUGUCAACCAGGUGAAAAUCUAGCCUUGAUCCUUCUUUUCUUAUUUAACUCUUUUGAAGGGUCUCCUUUUUAAUUGUCCUUUUCUUCAGCCACGGCGUCUUAGUCCCGAACUUGAACGCGCCAUCGAGCUCCUGCACUCUGAUGAACCACUGUUGUCAGAAGACAAGGAUUUAAUCAGGGCUCAUCGUGACGAACUUCAAGAACAUGUCCCUGCUGACAUCCGUCAGAUCUGGGACUUCUUGGAUGGCAACGCCCGCCGGCGACCUCAAGCCGACCGAAGUCAUCCGCUUCCUCGACGAGUCGCCCUUGAAGAUGCGGCGGCAGGAACUUCGCGCCCGGCCAUGGAUCGGAGCCACCCUCUCCCUCAUCAAGUCGAAGCGGAGGCUUCGAUGAAAGAGACAGAAGAAGAGUACAUUCGUCGUAUGAUAGAGUUAGGUCGGGCUGAGAGAGAGCGUAAGAAAAAGAAUGGUGAGGCUUCAAUGAAAGAGAUGGACGAAGAGUACAUUCGUCUCAUGAUAGAAUUAGGUCGGGCUGAGAGAGGGCGUAAGAAGAAGAAUGAUUAAUUAUUAUUUUUUGUUCUAAGGGCGACUUGUACCUUGUCGGCCGUGUAACCCACCGUCCGUACCGAAUGAAUACAUCGGCCGAUUUGGACGAUUACAUGUUUUUCUAGACGAACCGUUUCGUAUCGGCUGGGUACCAUUGUUUUGUGGUCAAUCCUUUAUGCUCCGACCCAUAUACUAGGGUAGUAUCUUUUCAGGUAUCUUCCGUUCAGAGCCCUAGUGAACUCUUCUCCCUCGAUGGUUUCCAAAAUAUAAGCAUUUCCUGGAGCGCAUUUGCCGAUUUUAUACGGCCCUUCCCAUGUAGGGGACCAUUUUCCGAAUUUAGGAUCUUUCGACCCAAUCGGCAACACUAACUUCCAAACCAGGUCCCCAGGGGAGAAUUGUUUGACUUUGACCUUCUUAUCGUACCACCUGGCUACUUUCUUCUUGUUUUCCUCAAUGCUUAUCAAAGCUCUCAACCGCUGGCCAGCCAAGUCAUCGAGUUCCCUCUUCAUGAGUGAUGAGUAGUCAUCGGCCGUUAACUGGUCCUGGAGCGAAAUGCGCCUCGAUCCCGCUCUUGAUUCCCACGGUAGUACUGCAUCGUGACCGUACACCAACUGAUAAGGGGAUAACUUGGUGGCUCCAUGGCAAGCCAUCCUGUAUGCCCAUAGGGCUUCAAUUAGACAUAGAUGCCAUUUUUUCGGCUCCUCCUCUAUCUUCCUUUUGAUUAACUUAAUUAUCCCUUUGUUGGAGGAUUCGGUCUGGCCAUUAGCUUGAGCGUAAUAUGGAGAGGAGUUCAACAAUUUGAUCCCCAUAUCGGCUGUGAAUUCUUCGAAUUCCCCUGAUGUGAACAUAGUUCCCUGAUCAGUUGUAAUAGUCUGGGGAAUGCCGAAUCGGUAGAUGAUAUGGUCCCUUACGAAGUCGGCCAUGGUAGCCGAUGUCACGGCUCUUAACGGAAUUGCUUCCACCCAUUUGGUAAAGUAAUCGGUAGCCACCAGAAUAAAUUUGUGCCCUUUGCUUGAUGGAGGGUAAAUUUGGCCGAUAAGGUCUAUUCCCCAUCCCCUGAACGGCCAUGGCUUGAUAAUGGGAUUCAUGGCCGAUGCGGGUGCACGUUGGACAUUCCUGAAUUUCUGACAAUCCUGGCAUCCCUUAUAAUAUUUGAAGCAGUCUUCGAGGAUCGUUGGCCAGUAAUACCCAUUGUUCCUGAUCAUCCAUUUCAUCUUAUGGGCCGAUUGGUGGGCUCCACAUACCCCUUUAUGGAUUUCUCCCAUCAGAGUCUUAGCCUCCUCUGUUCCUAGACAUUUGAGUAGGACGCCGUCAAUUGUUCGGUAGAACAAGUCAUCUUCAAGCAGUACGUAUUUAGUAGCAUGGAAACGCACUCGUCGAUCCACUUUCUUAGAUGGAUCUUUCAAGUAGUCGGCAAUUUCUUUUCGCCAGUCAUCGGCCGCAAGUUCCAAAGCCAUAGCGCCUAGAAUUGGCCGAUAUCCAGAUGCGUGCUGGGCGAGUUUGUUGGCAUCCUCGUUGUGAUCUCUUGGGAUGUGCUCGAUUACUGCCGAUUUAAAUUCUUUCAAGAGCUGCAGGCAAUCUUCGUAAUAAAUUCUCAAUACAUCGUCCUUGCAUUCGGACCUCCCUGUCAAUUGAUCCACAAUAAGAAUGGAAUCUCCGAAGAUUUCAACAGAAUCAGCCCUGACUUCUCUUAGUAGUUUCAAUCCCUUCAAUACAGCCCGGUACUCUGCUUGAUUGUUAGUGGCGGUGGCUUCUAUCGGCAGAGAGAAAUCAUAACUUGCCCCCCGAGGCGAUAUGAGGACGAUGCCGAUUCCUGAUCCAGCCCCACAUGAUGAUCCAUCGAAGUAUAAAGUCCAAGGUACCGGCUCCACGAAGGUAGUUUCUGGUCCGCAGUGUUGGGCGACGAAAUCGGCCAUGACUUGACCUUUGACGGCUUUCGCCGAUUCAUGCCGAAGGUCGAAUUUUGACAAAGCUAAGAUCCAUUUGCCGAUUCGUCCUUUCAAGAUCGGCAGUGACAGCAUGUAUUUUACUACGUCGUCUUUGCAUACGACCACGCAUUCCGCCGACAAUAAAUAGUGCCUGAGCUUGGUGCAUGAAAAGUAAAGACAUAGGCACAAUCGCUCCACUGGAGGAUACCUUGUUUCAGCGUCCAGAAGUCUUCUACUGACAUAAUAAACUACUCGUUCCUUUCCUUCGGACUCCUGGACUAGAGCCGACCCAAUAGCCUUUUCAUCGGCUGAUAAAUAUAAUUUAAAUGGCUUACCAGUUUGAGGAGGGACCAAUACUGGUGGUGAGACCAAGUACUGUUUGAUAUCUUCCAGUGCCUUGCAUUGUUCUUCCCCCCAUAUAAACUCUUGGUCGGGCUUCAACUGUAAUAAUGGUGUGAAGACUUGGAUUCACCCAGACAGAUUAGAUAUGAAUCUUCUAAUGAAAUUCACCUUGCCGAUUAAAGACUGCAAUUCAGUUUUAUUCUGCGGGGCUACGACUUUGUUGAUAGCCGUUAUGGUCUUCCGAUUGACCUCUAUUCCCCGCUCAUGCACCAUGAAUCCUAAGAACUGUCCGGCGGACACGCCGAAGGCACAUUUAUUCGGGUUCAUCUUCAGCCCAUGUUUCUUAGUGCAUUCCAGCACUUCUCGCAAAUCGGCCAGAUGUUCUUCGUGUCCUUUGGACUUGACUACGACGUCGUCGAUGUAGAUUUCUACCAGUAUGCCGAUGAGUUUGUGAAAUAUGUAGUUCAUGGCUCUCUGAUACGUGGCGCUGGCGUUUUUUAAGCCAAAAGUCAUUACCACCCACUCGAACAAACCAAGGUGGCCUGGGCAUCUGAAGGCCGUUUUGGGUAUGUCUUCUUCGGCCAUAAGUAUUUGAUUGUACCCAGCAUUUCCAUCCAUGAAGCUAAUAAUCUUGUGUCCCGCGGCAACGUCUAUCAGCACAUCGGCCGUUGGCAUGGGGUAUCCAUCCAUCGGUGUGGCCUGAUUAAGAUUCCUGAAAUCAACGCACAUGCGUAACUUUCCGUUCUUCUUGUAUACUGGUACAAUGUUGGAGAUCCACUCGGCAUAACGGCAUUGCCGAAUAAAUUUUGCUUCGAUUAGCCGAGUUAUUUCGACUUUUAUGUCUGGUAGGAUUUUAGGAUUGCACCGCCGUGCAGGCUGUUGAUAUGGCCGAUAUCCUGGUUUUAUGGGUAGCCGAUGUUCAACAAUAGAUCGAUCUAAUCCGGGCAUCUCAUGAUACUCCCAAGCAAAACAAUCCUUAAAUUCUCUUAACAACCUUGUCAGUUUACAUUUGUAUUCUGGGUCUAGAUUUGCACUAAUAUAAGUCGGCCUUGGUUUGGUGCCAUCGCCUAAGUCUAUCAUCUCUAAUGAAUCGGCCGACGUGAACCCGUGCCCUAGCUUCCCAUCUUCUCAGGUGAUUUGUUCCAUUUAAUCUGAGUCUUCGGAGCCGACUGCUCGGAUCGGCUGUAGGCCAAAAUCGGAUACCUUCAAGAAGUCAGUAUCCCAUACUUUACCGGAUAUGCACUUGACGGUUUCGCACCUCCACUGCUGCGUGUCGGCUGCCGCGAUGCUGUAUGCGGAGUCAGUGUUGACCACCUUGAUGUUGUCGCCGACCCAUUGUACAAGACAUUGAUGCAUCGUCGAUGGGAUGCAGCAAUUUGCGUGUAUCCAGUCUCGACCGAGUAGCAUGUUGUAGGAUCCCUUGCCAUUAAUAAUAAAGAAGGUAGUGGGAAGGGUCUUACUGCCGAUGGUGAGGUCGACGCAAAGGGCGCCACGAGCGGGGGAUACGUUGCCCUCAAAGUCCUUGAGCAUCAUGUCUGUCUUGGUCAAGUCAUCAUCACUUUUCCCAAGCUUCCGGAGCACGGCAUAUGGCAUGAUGUUGACUGCAGCUCCUCCGUCCCACCGGGCGUGCCAAAAGUGUGUUGGCGCUAGAAAUCGGUCAACCGAAUCCCCAGCGUCUGACACACGACCCGGGAGAAUCUGCUUAGCUCCUGUUCGGGUGAUCGCCCUGGUGCGGUUCGUGCGGCGUGCCAGCCAAUCUGACCUGUUGAUUGGCAAGGAAAUAGUCAUGUUAAUUCCCAGGGUUUGCGAUCGGCUAAGGUUCCGAUCUCAAGAAAGCUUAUCAGUGAAUCGGCCGAUUUGCAGUAAUAAAGGAAUCGGCUAUGAUGCAACCGAUUACUGUAGCAGCGUAAACAAAAACUACGGGAGUAGUUAACACAACACUACAGUAACAACACUAGGAAUAGAUCUGAUCGGCUAUGUAUGAAAUAGGUAGAUUAAACAACAAAGUAUAAAGAAAGCCGAUGUUGUCGAUUCCUAGCUGGAUAACUGAUGAUAAAACUAGAAUACAAGGUAAAACCUAUAAUUCUAGUAAAUAUCGAUAACUGGUGAAUAAAUUUAAACAAAACGACAGCGAUGCGCCCGAAGUUAAAGCCUAGAAUUUACUCGAUAAACGGAACUUACAAGAUCGGCCGGAGGUCAAGUUGAUGCAGCCUCGCCAACCCGUAUGAACUCGUGAAAAAGAAGAAAAGUAUUGGCGAAGUCGCCUGUUUGAAAGUAAGUACGAAGAAAUAGUAGUUUGUUGUAUUGAGUAGUUGAUUGAUUACAGAUCUACAAAGAUAGCUAUUUAUAGCCCCGUACAGAUGACUCCUUAUCUGACUAGAACUCUAUCCCUAAUUCAAAUAGAAAACGAAUAUUUACGAGUACGAUUCGUACUAGGUUGGUUAUUAUACGCUUCACGGGCUGAUCUCCCCUUCAUCCUUCUAUUCCUUUCCAAGCCCAUACCGGCCCAAUUAUUCCAACCUCCCAAUCGGCCGAUUCCUCAUCGGCAAAGGGUAACCGAUCGGGAACCUGGCGUGUCCGAUCCGAACCCCAAGGGUUAAGCGAAGCAGAAGUCAUCGGCCGAUCCCGUACUGUAGCAUUGGCCGAUCUUGGACUGUAGCGCCAACCAACCGAUCUCAAACUGUAGCGCCAUUCGGCCGAUUUCCACCUGUACUUUCCCAUUUCCUCUUCUCUUGGUGCCGAUUUCACUUGUGACGAAAUCUGGCGUCAACACAUGCCCUCCAGUUUCGGAAUAAAACAUAGUCUUUUACUUCGAAAUUCUUUUCAACUUCCCCUCCAAAACAGCUGCAAUGAAAAUAUGCUUCCGUUUCGCAGUCCUCCAGCUGAUGAUUGCAACUUUUCGAAACGGGCGCCCACAACAACCACUACUCCCGAAAAAGCUCGAAACGCCGGCGCGGUAAAAAUUCCAUUUUUACCCUUCAUCAGGCGCCCUUUAAAUAGCAAUUCACCACGCACCUCCCUUUCGAGCUCACGUCCUUCUUCCUCAGCGCGCGCGCCUUCUUCUUCCCUCAGCACUUUCCCUUAGCUCCGAAGCUUCCUAGCACCAUCUUCCUGUUGCUUCUCCUCCUCCCCUCCAAUGGCGGCACCUUCAGGCAACUCUCCCGCGUGCAAUGCUCCAGAAAUGGCACCCCCGACGGAAGUGGCGACAGCGGUUGCUCCGUCGUCAGAAGAAGGAUCUUCAUCGGAGAUCCCAAUGGUGAUCCCCAUAGCGGCCUCAUCCUCCACAGCUGCACCGGCGGUCACGUCGACUACAAGGAAUUUCAUCCCAGAGGUUAUUACCGAAUCCUUCCUCUAUCGGCAAUGCAUUUACUUUAGAUCUAUUUCUUACUUUUGCACCCCCCCUUUCCUUUUUAGGCGGUUAGACAUCGCAUCACCAUCCAUCUUACAGGAAAUCCCGGCCUUAUCUGUCUCGGACCCAUGGGGAACCCAGAUCCAAUCGAGCUCAUCAAUUUAGAAACCCACAGAAUCCCCUUCAAACAAUCCACCAUGGACCUGGAUCACUGGUUGGGCACCUUUAGGUCUUGGCCGAAUGAAACCCCUGGUUGGAGGGAAUGGUACCAACGGAUAGCCGAACCGAAGAGGGUCCAAUGGGACGAGCUCAAAAUCGGCCAAUGCAUCAACCUGUCUUUGUCCCAGAUGGAGCGAAAUGAACCAUUGGUGAUAGCAGCCUCUUACUUUUGGUCUGAUGCCCUCAAUGCAUUCUUGUUUGGACAUGGACCUAUGACCCCCACACUGGCCGAUGUGGUUCUGCUGACCGGCCUUGACAUCUCCUCCCCGGACACACCUUUCCGCCUCUUAGCCGCAACGUCGCAUCGGCUGGACACGAGAGGAAUCAGCGGGUGGAAAGGAUUUAUCAGAUGCAACAAAAGGGCCGGGUCUGUUGAGAACAGGGAGCACACGGCCUUCUUAAUGAUGUGGUUGGAAAAACAUUUCUUUUGCGGAAGAGCAGCCGGCCCAUCAACCAACACCCAGGCUUUAGCCGAAGCACUAUCGGCACGAACCCCUGUUCCCCUUGGAAAACACUUGCUAGGGGCGACCUACCACAUGCUCCACCAAAUCGGCACCAAACUUUCAAAGGGGGAGCCGAUUGGAAAUCCAGGCGGACCCUGGUGGUUCAUCAAUUUGUGGCUGAACCUUUAUAUGAGCAAGAUCUCUCAGCAGAGGGUGGAACACAUGAUGUUCCCCAACAUUGAAUCGGCAGAAGAUCCUACUGCUCGUCUCCGAUGCACAUCUUUUGGUGAAGCGGCGUCAGCCUUCCCGGGUUGCUUGUACUCUGCUACAAAAGUGGCUGAGUACUUCCGAUGCUUUUACAACGGCUUUAAUGAAGAUGCAACCGUCUGGUUUCCUUAUCAGCGAGAUGACCCAAUCUUCGAACUCCCAACUUGCUUUGACUCGACCACUGGCCGAUUCGACGAAGAACUCAUCGAUGAAUUAAUCAAGCCAGGAAUCCUGUCAGCCAACUUCUUUUCGGGGAAACAUGCCCCUACAUAUGAGUUCUACAAUCCAUCUGCUGCAGCACGCCAACUCGGCAUGGGUCAGCUGCCGAUUCAAGUAUAUUUUGCUGGCCGAGCCAAGUUCAGAGAUGGGCUCACAACAGGUCUGGACUACAAUCGGCUGCGAGAUCGGAUCCCAGACUCCACCACCAUUGACUUGAACAAUUGGAUAGUGGCUCCCUUCGCCGUCCAGCCAUUUAAGCUUUGGUGGGCCGAAUGGAAACAAUUCCUUUUCUGCAACUCCGCAUCGGCAUACUGCAAUCUCCUGGACCCAACCCACAUCGACCCAAAUGCCGAGGUAUUUUUCCUUAGCCGAUUUUUUAUUCUUUUGUCAACGCGGCUGAACACUAACGUUUUGCUAUUGUUUCAGCCUGAGAACCGUGUCCCCCUCACGCACAGUCGGAGUGGUCAGCUAAUAGAGGAUCACCAUCCGUACACCACCUUCCGUCUCAUCGGCUAUGAUGCUCCGUCCGUGGACGUGAUUGCUGGCCGAUCGAAGCAAGCACAGAAGAAAGUCACCAAGAAGACCAGCCGUCGAGUCCGGGCCCGUAUAUAAUCGGCGGAUCCUCCCAUGCUCGUAUCGGCAGAGACUUCGGCCGCACCACCCCCUCAAGCUACCAGAGAGAUCGACACUCAAGUCGUCGCACAAGCUGGGGCAGCUGCCACGUCACUGCUGUUGAGGCCGUGCAGGUAAACUUAUGUUUUAACCCUUCCGAUUGUCGUAUCGAUAUUAAUCCUUCUUAUCUUAGACUGCACAGACUACCCCCAUGGACACACAACAAUCGGCAGCAACUCAAUCGGCCAUCGACGUGCCCCCGCUUCCAUCCGUUGAGGUAUAACACAAUUUCACCGAUUCCCCUAGUAUUUGAAUAAUAUGCUUACUCAACCUUCUGACACAGGUCAUCGGCACGCCAAGCGCUCCUCAACCACUGGUCCCCUCUCGGGAAGCUGGUCCAAGCACAGUGCCAAUCAUCAUGGAGCCUUCCUCUUCUGAUGAACCCAUGGCACCAGCCCCUGAGCCGAGGAUGACGGCUUCCCAAAUGCAGCUUGAGGAGAUUCGAUUCAAAGAGGUAACAAAUCUUUCAACUUUAUUUAGCCGAUUUGCUAUCACCAUCAGCCGAUUUAUUUUCUUCUUUACUAUUUCCAGGAACAGGACAACCCUGACAACAGCCUCUUCUCUUUUGCGGUCGCCCUCUCUGACGACGAAGAAGUCGCCUCCCACCAAAUCACCUUGAGCUCCAUCCCCGACGACGUCCGAGCCAAGCUUACCAACAUCCGAUCCCUUCUUCAAGGAGACAUCGGCCGAUUGGUAGAAGAUGCCUCGCCGAUUCGGCAGCUCUUUGGUGACGUCAACGGACGAGUACCAGAAGAAGCGGAGGAAGCCUUGGCGCCGGCUGCAUACAUCGAGUCGAUGAGGAUCCUGGUUUUCAGAGCCCUUCGUCACAUGGCCGAUCGCGCCAAGUUGGCCAAGACUCGCGAAGAAGAGGAUGCGUAUAAACGUCAGGCCCAAGAGGUACACCAACGCAUUCACUUUCUGGAGGACUCCCGCCCAGGGAUCGUCGGCGAGAUAGACCGCCUCAAACGCCGAAGGGCAGAGCUCGCCAAGGAGAUGGAGCAGGUGACCAAGGCAAUAAGUGCUGAAGAGAAAAGACUCCAAGAGCUCCCCUCUGUCAUCGCCGAUCUAAAACAGGAGAGGCAGCAUUUGGCCCAUGAAGCCCUGAAGCUCCACCGUAGCGCGUCAGAAGUCCCUGGAUCGGCGGAUGAUGACCAACGGGUCUUGGACUCUGCCGAUCAGAUCCGGCGUCGAGCGAUUGCGGCUAUCGAUGCCCUUCUAGGUAAUCUGUAAAAGCACUGACUAUUUGUACGAACCUUUAAUGGCUGCUUUGACCGUCCCUCGUGACGUCUCUUUUAUUUAUUACCUUUCCUACUUCCGACGGGACGCACCUUUACGCCUCGUUUUCUUAUAAAUGCCGGCCUAGACCCUCCUUCCGAGAGUACCAGUUUGGCUCGGCUUUGUUUUCUCAACCUGCUCUCGUCGGCGCGACCUUCAACUAUGUCUUCAUCAUCUUCUUCUUCCUCUGUCAACCAAGUGAAAAUCUGGCCUUGAUCCUUCUUUUCUUAUUUAACUCUUUUGAAGGGGAUCUCCUUUUUAAUUGUCCUUUUCUUCAGCCACGGCGUCUUAGUCCCGAACUUGAACGCGCCAUCGAGCUCCUGCACUCUGAUGAACCGCUGUCGUCAGAAGACAAGGAUUUAAUCAGGGCUCAUCGUGACGAACUUCAAGAACAUGUCCCUGCUGACAUCCGUCAGAUCUAGGACUUCCUGGACGGCAACGCCCGCCGGCGACCUCAAGCCGACCGAAGUCAUCCGCUUCCUCCACGAGUCGCCCUUGAAGAUGCGGCGGCAGCAACUUCGCGCCCGGGCAUGGAUCGGAGCCACCCUCUCCCUCAUCAAGUCGAAGCGGAGGCUUCAAUGAAAGAGACAGAAGAAGAGUACAUUCGUCGUAUGAUAGAGUUAGGUCGGGCUGAGAGAGAGCGUAAGAAAAAGAAUGGUGAGGCUUCAAUGAAAGAGAUGGACGAAGAGUACAUCCGUCUCAUGAUAGAAUUAGGUCGGGCUGAGAGAGAGUGUAAGAAGAAGAAUGAUUAAUUAUUAUUUUUUGUUCUAAGGGCGACUUGUACCUUGUCGGCCGUGUAACCCACCGUCCGUACCGAAUGAAUACAUCGGCCGAUUUGGAUGAUUACAUGUUUUUCUAGAAGAACCGUUUCGUAUCGGCUGGGUACCGUUGUUUUGUGGUCAAUCCUUUAUGCUCCGACCCAUAUACUAGGGUAGUAUCUUUUCAGGUAUCUUCCGUUCAGAGCCCUAGUGAACUCUUCUCCCUCGGAUGUUUCCAAAGUAUAAGCAUUUCCUGGAGUGCAUCUGCCGAUUUUAUACGGCCCUUCCCAUGUAGGGGACCAUUUUCCGAAUUUAGGAUCUUUCGACCCAAUCGGCAACACUAACUUCCAAACCAGGUCCCCAGGGGAGAAUUGUUUGACUUUGACCUUCUUAUCGUACCACCUGACUACUUUCUUCUUGUUUUCCUCAAUGCUUAUCAAAGCUCUCAACCGCUGGCCAGCCAAGUCAUCGAGUUCCCUCUUCAUGAGUGAUGAGUAGUCAUCGGCCGUUAACUGGUCCUGGAGCAAAAUGCGCCUCGAUCCCGCUCUUGAUUCCCAUGGUAGUACUACAUCGUGACCGUACACCAACUUAUAAGGGGAUAACUUGGUGGCUCCAUGGCAAGCCAUCCUGUAUGCCCAUAGGGCUUCAAUUAGACAUAGAUGCCAUUUUUUCGGCUGCUCCUCUAUCUUCCUUUUGAUUAACUUAAUUAUCCCUUUGUUGGAGGAUUCGGCCUGGCUGUUAGCUUGAGCGUAAUAUGGAGAGAAGUUCAACAAUUUGAUCCCCAUAUCGGCUGUGAAUUCUUCGAAUUCCCCUGAUGUGAACAUAGUUCCCUGAUCGGUUGUAAUAGUCUGGGGAAUGCCGAAUCGGUAGACGAUAUGGUCCCUUACGAAGUCGGCCAUGGUAGCCGAUGUCACGGCUCUUAAUGGAAUUGCUUCCACCCAUUUGGUAAAGUAAUCGGUAGCCACCAGAAUAAAUUUGUGCCCUUUGCUUGAUGGAGGGUAAAUUUGGCCGAUAAGGUCUAUUCCCCAUCCCCUGAACAGCCAUGGCUUGAUAAUGGGAUUCAUGGCCGAUGCGGGUGCACGUUGGACAUUCCCGAAUUUCUGACAAUCCUGGCAUCCCUUAUAAUAUUUGAAGCAGUCUUCGAGGAUCGUUGGCCAGUAAUACCCAUUGUUCCUGAUCAUCCAUUUCAUCUUAUGGGCCGAUUGGUGGCCUCCACAUACCCCUUCAUGGAUUUCUCCCAUCAGAGUCUUAGCCUCCUCUGUUCCUAGACAUUUGAGUAGGACGCCGUCAAUUGUUCGGUAGAACAAGUCGUCUUCAAGCAGUACGUAUUUAGUAGCAUGGAAACGCACUCGUCGAUCCACUUUCUUAGACGGAUCUUUCAAGUAGUCGGCAAUUUCUUUUCGCUAGUCGUCGGCCGCAAGUUCCAAAGCCAUAGCGCCUAGAAUUGGCCGAUAUCCAGAUGCGUGCUGGGCGAGUUUGUUGGCAUCCUCGUUGUGAUCUCUUGGGAUGUGCUCGAUUACUGCUGAUUUAAAUUCUUUCAAGAGCUGCAGGCAAUCUUCGUAAUAAAUUCUCAAUACAUCGUCCUUGCAUUCGGACCUCCCUGUCAAUUGAUCCACAAUAAGCAUGGAAUCUCCGAAGAUUUCAACAGAAUCGGCCCUGACUUCUCUUAGUAGUUGCAAUCCCUUCAAUACAACCCGGUACUCUGCUUGAUUGUUAGUGGCGGUGGCUUCUAUCGGCAGAGAGAAAUCAUAACUUGCCCCCCGAGGCGAUAUGAGGACGAUGCCGAUUCCUAAUCCAGCCCCACAUGAUGAUCCAUCGAAGUAUAAAGUCCAAGGUACCGGCUCCACGAAGGUAGUUUCUGGUCCGCAGUGUUGGGUGACGAAAUCGGCCAUGACUUGACCUUUGACGGCUUUCGCCGAUUCAUGCCGGAGGUCGAACUCUGACAAAGCUAAGAUCCAUUUGCCGAUUCGUCCUUUCAAGAUCGGCAGUGACAGCAUGUAUUUUACUACGUCGUCUUUGCAUACGACCACGCAUUCCGCCGACAGUAAAUAGUGCCUGAGCUUGGUGCAUGAAAAGUAAAGACAUAGGCACAAUCGCUCCACUGGAGGAUACCUUGUUUCAGCAUCCAGAAGUCUUCUACUGACAUAAUAAACUACUCGUUCCUUUCCUUCGGACUCCUGGACUAGAGCCGACCCAAUAGCCUUUUCAUCGGCUGAUAAAUAUAAUCUAAAUGGCUUACCAGUUUGAGGAGGGACCAAUACUGGUGGUGAGACCAAGUACUGUUUGAUAUCUUCCAGUGCCUUGCGUUGUUCUUCCCCCCAUAUAAACUCUUGGUCGGGCUUCAACUGUAAUAAUGGUGUGAAGACUUGGAUUCGCCCAGACAGAUUAGAUAUGAAUCUUCUAAUGAAAUUCACCUUGCCGAUUAAAGACUGCAAUUCAGUUUUAUUCUGCGGGGCUACGACUUUGUUGAUAGCCGCUAUGGUCUUCGGAUUGACCUCUAUUCCCCGCUCAUGCACCAUGAAUCCUAAGAACUGUCCGGCGGACACGCCGAAGGCACAUUUAUUCGGGUUCAUCUUCAGCCCAUGUUUCUUAGUGCAUUCCAGCACUUCUCGCAAAUCGGCCAGAUGUUCUUCGUGUCCUUUGGACUUGACUACGACGUCGUCAAUGUGGAUUUCUACCAGUAUGCCGAUGAGUUUGUGAAAUAUGUAGUUCAUGGCUCUCUGAUACGUGGCGCCGGCGUUUUUUAAGCCAAAAGUCAUUACCACCCACUCGAACAAACCAAGGUGGCCUGGGCAUCUGAAGGCCGUUUUGGGUAUGUCUUCUUCGGUCAUAAGUAUUUGAUUGUACCCAGCAUUUCCGUCCAUGAAGCUAAUAAUCUUGUGUCCCGCGGCAGCGUCUAUCAGCACAUCGGCCAUUGGCAUGGGGUAUCCGUCCAUCGGUGUGGCCUGAUUAAGAUUCCUGAAAUCAACGUACACGCGUAACUUUCCAUUCUUCUUGUAUACUGGUACAAUGUUGGAGAUCCACUCGGCAUAACGGCAUUGCCGAAUAAAUUUUGCUUCGAUUAGCCGAGUUAUUUCGGCUUUUAUGUCUGGUAGGAUUUUAGGAUUGCACCGCCGUGCAGGAUGUUGAUACGGCCGAUAUCCUGGUUUUAUGGGUAGCUGAUGUUCAACAAUAGAUCGAUCUAAUCCGGGCAUCUCAUGAUACUCCCAAGCAAAACAAUCCUUAAAUUCUCUUAACAACCUUGUCAGUUUACAUUUGUAUUCUGGGUCUAGAUUUGCACUAAUAUAAGUCGGCCUUGGUUUGGUGCCAUCGCCUAAGUCUAUCAUCUCUAAUGAAUCGGCCGACGUGAACCCGUGCCCUAGCUUCCCAUCUUCUCGGGCGAUUUGAUCCAUUUAAUCUGAGUCUUCGGAGCCGACUGCUCGGAUCGGCUGUAGGCCAAAAUCGGACACCUUCAAGAAGUCAGUAUCCCAUACUUUACCGGAUAUGCACUUGACGGUUUCGCAGCUCCACUGCUGCGUGUCGGCUGCCACGAUGCUGUAUGCGGAGUCGGCGUUGACCACCUCGAUGUUGUCGCCGACCCAUUGUACAAGACAUUGAUGCAUUGUCGAUGGGAUGCAGCAAUUUGCGUGUAUCCAGUCUCGGCCGAGUAGCAUGUUGUAGGAUCCCUUGCCAUUAAUAAUAAAGAAGGUUGUGGGAAGGGUCUUACUGCCGAUGGUGAGGUUGACGCAGAGGGCGCCGCGAGCGGGGGAUACGUUGCCCUCGAAGUCCUUGAGCAUCAUGUCUGUCUUGGUCAAGUCAUCAUCGCUUUUCCCAAGCUUCCGGAGCACGGCAUAUGGCAUGAUGUUGACUGCAGCUCCUCCGUCUACCAUUAAUCUGGUGAGGGGUCGGCCGUUGACAUGCCCUUUAAGGAACAACGCUUUCAGGUGUUGCCGUUCGUCAUCUUCGGGCUUCCCGAAUGUGGCUGUCAUUGGCUCCAAGGCCAAUUGUGCCAUCUGUUCUUCUAUCGCCGAUAUAUCCUGUUGAUCGGCAGGAGUCAUAAAUUCCAUCGGCAGUAUGAAAACCAUGCCGAUGUCGGCUGCCGAUUCAUCGCCUGCCAAUUCGUUGCCUCCUCUGUCGUUUCUUUUGGGGCGCCAAACCUGAGACCUGCCUUCCCUCUUGUCCGUCGUGCACCGUUGUUCUUCCUCCUACUGUUCCCACUGGAGGAGACGUUGGAUCCUUCGUUUUUGAGAUUUGGUUAACCCGUCGGGACACCACCUGGGGUUUACUGGUUUGGUUCUUGGCCUGGCGCGUUCCCAUUCCGGCUCGCGUCCCAAAUGGUUUUCGUCUGAUACUCGAGCAUCGGCCACCUCUUCAAGCUGACUGUGAAUGCUGGCCCUGUUUUCCGACCGGUCAUGUCGAUCAAAACGCUUGCCUUCCGACCGGUCAUAUCGGUCACUUCUGCCCCCCAGCCGAUCACGCACGGGAGGGCGCCGGUCGUCUUGGUUGAGCUAGUUCCUGUUGAUCGGCUCUGGUCUCCUGUCUCUGGAGCGAGACCUAUUGAACGGCCGAUUGUUACAAUAUGGGCCGUUGCACUCUGGGCAGUUAUCGGCCGACGGUAACCUGAGGUUGCUUUCCCAACAGUGGAUGAAGAACGGGCAUCUCCAGUGAUCUUCAUGUCGCCGCAUCGCUUCUUUCCGGGAUCUUGAGCGCUCAUGUUGCCGCUGAUAUUUGUGGAGCAGGUAUUGGGAAGUGAUGCGUGGCUCACCUGAUCCGCCAUCGUCGUCUUCCAUCCGCCGCUUCCCCUUGAUGUCUUCAGGCACCGCUUGAUUUCUGGGAUCUAUGGCACCACUCUUUUUAGCCGAUUCGGACGUUAGCACCCUUGUUUGGAGCGGAUUUUUUCCCGUGUCAACCAUGUUGGUGGGGAAGGGGUGCUGGUCGAUCUUCAUUGGCUUGGCUGGUUUUGUUGAUACUUCAAAUUUAAGUCUGCCCUGCUCAAUAGCCGUUUGUAUCUGUUGCCGGAAGAUUUUGCACUCGUUAGUGUCAUGGGAUGUAGCGUUGUGCCAUUUGCAAUAUUUCAUCUUCUUCAGCUGUUCGGCAGAAGGUAUUGUAUGGUAUGGUGAGAGCUGAAUUUGUCCUUCCUGGAGUAGGAGGUCGAAGAUUUUAUCGGCCUUCGACGUGUCAAAGCCGAACGUUUCUGGCUCCUUCUUGCCGAACGGGCAUGAUAUCGACUUCUUUCCCUUAACCCAUUCCGCAAGACCGACCUCUGCAUCUUCCUCGGCUUCAACCUCUUCUAGGAAUGCCACCUUCUUCUGGAAGUUCCUUCGUGGAUCAAAAGAACGUACCUCUUGACCGGACAAUCGGUGGACGAUCUGGCUCAAGCUUUCAAACUCCUGUGAGGCGUAUUUUUCCUUGAUGUGAGGCAGGAGACCUUGAAAGGCUAUAUCGGCCAGCUGCGCACCAGUUAGAGCCAGAGAAUAGCAUUUGUUCCUAAUUUCCCGAAACCUCUGCACAUAUGAGGAUAUCGGCUCGUCGCUUCUCUGCCUGAGGCUGGUUAAAUCAGACAGCUUCAUCUCGUACACCCCGGCGUAGAAGUAUUUAUGAAACUGCCUCUCCAAAUCGGCCCAUGUAAUAAUCGAGUUGGGUGGUAAUGUCGUGAACCACUGGAAGGCCGACCCAGACAAGGAUGAUGAGAAUAGCCGCACCCGUAGAGCGUCUUGCGCCGCUGCUUCUCCGCAUUGGAUGAUGAACCUGUUCACGUGUUCCACGGUUGAAGUGUCAUCCAUCCCCGAGAACUUGGUGAAGUCAGGAACUUUAUACCGAUGGGGAAACGACAGUAGGUCGUACGUAGACGGGUACGGUGUCCUGUAAGUGUAAGUCUGUACCUUCGGCUUCAAGCCGAAUUGUUCCUGAAUCACUUCUGCUAUACGUGCCGACCAGUCCGGCUGUUGCUGGUAAACUAUUGGCUGAGGGAUUGGCACGUGCUGGUAUAUCGGAGGCGGGAUGGCCUGAUGCUGAGUGAAAGUAUGUGGCAUCUGAUGUGUUAUAGCCGGUUGUGUAUUCAGGGUCGGCUGUUUGAAUGAGCCACUCGUUUCAUUGUAUAGUGCGAGUUCUGCUGCUUUGCUCAUCUCUGGUGCGAUAGGCUGGUACGGCGGCAUAGUUGGUCGAGUGGUUGCCUGGAAAGACGCCUGGAAUUGGGGACUUCCCUGACUGGCCGAUUGACCCUGAACGGCCGUAGCUGAUGGCGCCCCCCAAGACGCUGGAUUAACCGGAGGGAACUGCGCAGUGGAUAACUGAACGGGAUGUGGCUGGAGGUGUUGUGUGCCCGUAUACCCCAUAGAAAUCGAUGAUGAGGAAGCGCCUGAACCCCCAACUGGAAAUUGGAUCGGCUGAGAAGCCGAAUUCAGAUAACUCUUGUUUGGUGGAAUCGGCGGAGCAUAUGCCGGACCCUUGUACCCUUGAGAUACCCCGCUAGCCAAGGAGCUAAUGACGGCAUUGUACACUGUAUUCGCAAGCACCGAGGAUUGAUUGACGAAGGCUUGAUAAACGGACUGCUGGACCAUCUCGAACAUUUUGUCCGAGUCCUCGGUGAUUGUGAUCUGGCGGGGAGUUGGAAACGGAUUCUUUUUGAUAGUUUCCCCGCUUCUGGUGCGACUGAAGGACUGUAGGCAAGCCUUCCGGUAGUAUGCCGUCUGCCUCUCUAGUUCUUCCUUCUGAUCAUCCUGGAGAUCUGCUUCCGUCACUCCGAUGACGUUCUCUUCGGAGACUUCAGCAGCUUUCGACAUGGUGGCAGUUGUGUGGGUCCCACCGAGCGUGCCAAAAGUGUGUUGGCGCUAGAAAUCGGUCAAUCGAAUCUCCAACGUCUGACACACGACCCGGGAGAAUCUGCUUAGCUCCUGUUUGGGUGAUCGCCCUGGUGCGGUUCGCGCGGCGUGCCAGCCAAUCUGACCUGUUGAUUGGCAAGGAAAUAGUCGUGUUAAUUCCCAGGGUUUGCGAUCGGCUAAGGUUCCGAUCUCAAGAAAGCUUAUCAGCGAAUCGGCCGAUUUGCAGUAAUAAAGGAAUCGGCUAUGAUGCAACCGAUUACUGUAGCAGCGUAAACGGAAACUACGGGAGUAGUUAACACAACACUACAGUAACAACACCAGGAAUAGAUCUGAUCGGCUAUGUAUGAAAUAGGUAGAUUAAACAGCGAAGUAUAAAGAAAGCCGAUGUUGCCGAUUCCUAGCUGGAUAACUGAUGAUAAAACUAGAAUACAAGGUAAAACCUAUAAUUCUAGUAAAUAUUGAUAACUGGUGAAUAAAUUUAAACGAAACGACAUCGAUGCGCCCGAAGUUAAAGCCUAGAAUUUACUCGAUAAACGGAACUUACAAGAUCGGCCGGAGGUCAAGUUGAUGCAGCCCCGCCAACCUGUAUGAACUCGUGAAAAAGAAGAAAAGUAUUGGUGAAGUCGCCUGCUUGAAAGUAAGUACGAAGAAAUAGUAGUUUGUUGUAUUGAGUAGUUGAUUGAUUACAGAUCUACAAAGAUAGCUAUUUAUAGCCCCGUACAGAUGACUCCUUAUCUGACUAGAACUCUAUCCCUAAUUCAAAUAGAAAACGAAUAUUUACGAGUACGAUUCGUACUAGGUUGGUUAUUAUAUGCUUCACGGGCUGAUCUCCCCUUCAUCCUUCUAUUCCUUUCCAAGCCCAUACCGGCCCAAUUAUUCCAACCUCCCAAUCGACCGAUUCCUCAUUGGCAAAGGGUAACCGAUAAGGAACCUGGCGUGUCCGAUCCGAACCCCAAGGGUUAAGCGAAGCAGAAGUCAUCGGCUGAUCUUGGACUAUAGCGCCAACCAACCAAUCUCGAACUGUAGCGCCAUUCGGCCAAUUUCCACCUGUACUUUCCCAUUUCCUCUUCUCCUGGCGCCGAUUUCACUUGUGACGAAAUCUGGCGUCAACACCUUCAUACUCCGAAACUAGGGGGUCUAUGUUAACACCAAAAUUUAGAAAUGUGCUCUGAAAGGAAGGUAUCGGUCGAUGAUGCAAAAAAAUAAUGAAAUCUCCUAAAUAAGGCUCAAGAAAGAAAAAGCAAGAAAAGGAAAUCAACGCACGCGGCAAGAAUUGAAUAAAAUAUUCUGGAGAUAGAGUUGGUUAGGAUAAGCUUGAUUAGAGAUAGAGUUGGAUUAGUUAGAGAUAGUAUUUUGAUUAGAAAAGAUUGUGUACAUGACUUGCCUUGUACGUGGUGCGUCAGAGGCCAUCCGCCCUAUAAAUAUAAGGGGUCAUGGCCAUUGUAAUUAUCAUCACACGAUCAAUAUACAACAUAUUUAUCUUUUACCUUUUCGGCUUCACGCCAUUGCAUUAGGAGUAGGAGUAAUGUAGCUUCUCGACGAGUUCCUUCUAGCAAGCUGGGCUGCAUCGACCUUGAUCUCCGGCGAGCUGCAAAGUUUUGUCACCUGGUGUUCUAGGCUUUAACCACCGGGCGCAUCGCUGUGGUUUCGUCUAGUUUCAUCUACUAGGUAUCGAAUAUCAUGGAUCUUUGACUUACGCAUCGCUUCUGUCUUGAUCUACGGUAUUCACCAGUUAUCCUGCCUUGAUUAAGUCUGCAUCGGCUGAUAUUUAUCUGUUCUAUCAUCUUGCCGUUCAGUUUGCUUUAAUUAGCUUUAGAUCAGUUCAUUAUAGAUGACAGAUCGCUUAAUAGCCUGUUGCAUCUUAAUCUUGGUUACCCCUUCAAGUGCUGUUGGGAUUAAGUUUCGUUAUGAUUGGAUUCAUCGGCUGGUGGGGUUCAGAUUAACAUCCUGCUAAAUAUUUCUAGACUGCAACUACUGGACGCAUCGCUGUGGUUUCAUCUAGAGAUAUUGGUAGAGAGUUUAGUUUAGAUCUCAUCGGUUCGUGGCUCUAGCUAUGGUGGAGCGGCAGCUGAAUAGCAUCCUGUUUUCUAUCGGUCGCCUGGCCGAUGGUUAUUGCAAAAUAUAUUAAAUCGGCUGCUCACGCUCGUCAAGGAUCAUAUCGGCCUGAUCGGCCAGUUACCUCGGACUUCAAAGGAUUAUUUUCACCUUGUCAGUUGAAUGGUCAAACUGGCUGGAGUUAAGUAGAUCUCCCAGGUCCUCAUGUGGUGACGAAGGAUCCACCACCGUCAGAAUUUUACGUCAACAGAUUUUAGCACGCCCAGUGGGACACGGUUAUAAGGUUCAUAUUUUUAUUCAUAUAAAAAAGCAUCUUCGGCAGCUGUAUCAAAUUCAUCGGCCAAAUGAGUGUUCAUCGGCUUGUUAGAAUUAAUUCAAUAUAAUAUUUCAGCAAAAGCAGCCGAUGUAGUGAUUGGAGAUAAGGCCAAGUCAAGUCUGCGUGUAUACGCAUGUUCCGGUGGGAUCAUCUUCAUAAAUGCCAAUGACGAUUAGAGAUGAAGCUUCCUGCAAAAUGAUUGGCUACUCUAUCCGGGAAGAAUUGCUUUUUUAUGAGGCAUAUAUAGAGACCCAUGUUGCAAUUAGGGGGCGUAUUCGUGCAUCGGAAGAAAUAAAAAAUACAUCGGCAUAUUGAAAAUUGCAUCGGCCGAUUGACAGUCGUAUCAGCUGAUUGGAAAAAUAAAAAGGGAUCAGGGAUCGGCCGAUUGGAAAUUGCAUCAGCUGAUGGAAAAUGAGAUCAGCCGAUUGGAGUUGUAUCGGCUGAUUAAGAAAAAAACAGCGGCCGAUCGUAGAGAAAGGCAUCGGCCAAUUAGCAUCAGUAAGUUGGAAUUAAAAAAAAGAAGAGAGAGAAAGGCAUCCGCGGAUUAGCAUCGGCCCAUUGGAAAUAAAAAAAAAGAAGAGAAGAAGACCAGCCGAUAGGAGAUCACAGCCGAUGGGCAAGAAAGAAAUAAAAAAAAAGAGAAGAAGACCGGCCGAUAGAAACUUCAGCUGAUGGGCAAAGGGAUAUAUGAAAGAAGAAAUAAAAAAGUUACGUCGUCCGAUUAAAAAUUGCAUCAGCCCAUAAUGCUAUUUCUUAUAUUUCAGCCGAUGGAGCUCUUGUCUCAGCCCAUAAUGCUAUUUCAUAUAUUUCAGUCGUAGUUUUUUGUCUCAGCCGAUGGCGUUGCUUGCUAUAUUUUGGCCGAUGGAGUAAGAGGAACAGUUACAAUAUUUUUUUUAAAAGAAAGCAAGUAUCGGCAAGCAGUAGCCGAUGGAUUUGUAUUUCAGCCAAUGAGGUUUUUGUUUCAGCUGAUAGUACUGCUGGCUGAUGGCAAGUCCGAUGGAGUUAAAAUUGCAUCGACUGAUUGAAAUAAAAAUUAAGUAUCCGCUAAUUUAUGGCCAAGUAGCAUCUGCUGAUUUGUUGCAAAGUAGUUUCGGCUGAUUUAUGGCAAAAUAGAAUCGGCCGAUUUAUUGCUUAAAAUUAAGUAUCGGCUGAUUUAUGGCAAAGUAGCAUCAGCUGAUUUGUUAAAAAGUAGUUUCGGCUGAUUUAUGGCAAAAUAGAAUCGGCCGAUUUAUGGCAAAGAAGCCAAUAGACAAAAGCAUCGGCUGGUAGAGAAGCCGAUUGAGCAAGCAUCUGUUGAUGAGCUAUGUAUGGGAAAAAGUAUUGGCUGCUUAAACAAUUGACAAAAGCCAAUUGGUCAGACUAAGAAGCCAACUGGGAAAGCAUCGAUCGAUGGAUUGCGUAUGGGAGAGAGUAUCGGAUGAAGUCUUUAGUAUUGACUGCUAGAUAUUUGAGCAAGCGUCGGCCGAUUGCCUGCUUGGUAAAAAAAACAUCGGCCGAUUGCUUGGUUAAUAAAAAAAUUGCAUCGUUCAAGCAAAGAUUGCAUCGGCUGAUUGGUUCAAGCAGAAUAGUAUCGGCUGCUUAUAGAAUAUAUCGGAUAUUAAUUUCGAAGCAUGAAAAUAUUCAUACUCCGAAACUGGAGGGCCUGUGUUGACAAUAAAAGCUUGCUGGUUACUGCACCAAGUUUUGGUGUCAACAUACUUGAUCAUUUGUUUCCAUUGCCAGCGGAUUCAUCGGCUCAGAGUGGGAUCAAGACAUUAAGCUGAUGGAGUUCUUUAUAUUUCAAGAGGAGUCAUGGAGUUCUUUAUAUUUCAAGAGGAGUCGAUGGUGCUUUGUAUAUUGCAACCAGCUGAUGGAGUUCUUUAUAUUUCAAGAGGAGUCAUGGAGUUCUUUAUAUUUCAAGAGGAGUCGAUGGUGCUUUGUAUAUUGCAACCAGACGUCAUUGGCUCUAAAGAUACCGAAUCACCGGACUUCUAUGAUCAGUUUCGGAACAUGAAGCCUUCAUACUACGAAACUGGGGGCCUAUGUUGACACCGAAUCAUCGGACUUCUAUAAUUAGUUUUGGAACAUGAAGCCUUCAUACUUCAAAACUGGGGGGCCUGUGUUAACACCAAAAUUUAGAAAUGUGCUCUGAAAGGAAGGUAUCGACCGAUGAUGCAAAAAAAUAAUGAAAUCUACUAAAUAAGACUCAAGAAAGAAAAGCAAGAAAAGGAAAUCAACGCACACGGCAAGAAUUGAAUAAAAUAUUCUGGAGAUAGAGUUGGUUAGGAUAAGCUUGAUUAGAGAUAGAGUUGGAUUAGUUAGAGAUAGUAUUUUGAUUAGAAAAGAUUGUGUACAUGACUUGCCUUGUACGUGGUGCGUCAGAGGCCAUCCGCCCUAUAAAUAUAAGGGUCGUGGCCAUUGUAAUUAUCAUCACACCAUCAAUAUACAACAUAUUUAUCUUUUACCUUUUCGGCUUCACGCCAUUGCAUUAGGAGUAGGAGUAAUGUAGCUUCUCGACGAGUUCCUUCUAGCAAGCUGGGCUGCAUCGACUUCGAUCUUCGGUGAGCUGCAAGUUCCGUCACCAGGUGUUCUAGGCUUUAACCACCGGGCGCAUCGCUAUGGUUUCGUCUAGUUUCUUCUACCAGUUACCGAGUAUCUUGGAUCUUUGACUUACGGCGCAUCGCUUCUAUCUCGAUCUACGGUAUUCACCAGUUAUUCCGCCUUGAUUAAGCUUGCAUCGGCUGAUAUGUAUCUGUUCUUUCGUCUUGCCGUUCAAUUUGCUUUAGUUAGCUUUAGAUCGGUUCAUCAUAGACAAUAGAUCAUUUAAUAGCAUGUUGCAUCUUGAUCUUAGCUAUCCUUCGAGUGUUGUUGGGAGUAUGUUCCGUUGUGAUUGGAUCCAUCGGCUAGCAGGGUUUAGAUUAACGUCUUGCUAAAUAUUUCUAGACUGCAACUACCGGGCACAUUGUUGUGGUUUCACCUAGAGAUAUUGGUGGUGACGUUAGUUUAGAUCUCAUCGGCUUGUGGCUCUAGCUAUGGCAGGGCAACAACUCAACAUCAUCCUGUUUUCAAUCGACCGUCUAACUGAUAGUUAUUGUAAAUUAUAUUAAAUCGGCUGGAUGGCCGAUGAAUCACUCACAUUCAUCAAGGUACUGGAAUCGGCUUCACAGCCGAUAUAUUUGUCAUGAUUUAUUUUGUUGCACCAUUAUCGCUACUGUGCUAGGAUUAUAUCGGCCUAAUCGGCCGGUUUCCUCGGACUUCACAACGACUAUCAUCUCCUUGUCAGUUGAAUGGUCAAACUGACUGGCAUGCCCGCGCACACCACACGUGCCGAUUUGGAUUCUGCACUAGAGUUAAGCAGAUCUCCCAGGUUCUCAUGUGCUGAUGCAGGGUCCACCACCGCCAGGAUUUUGUGUCAACACCUUGUAAUCUUCCUUUGAUUUCCUCAAUGAUUCGAAGACAAUAACCUUGCUUCUAUCAAUGAUAAUUAUAAGGAGAACCUAGUGGAAACUGUGUAUUCAUAUUAGAACUACCUAUGGUUAAUUAGGUUAGGAAAGGAAAUCGAAAAUAGACCGUACCCACACUUACUUAAAGUUGUUGGGCAGUAGUAUGUAAUGCUUGUAAUUCUGUUACUCCAAGAAUUUGUAUAUGUAGUCCAAUGUAGACUUUGGUUGAUCCCAUAUUUGUUGUUGGUUAAAUAAGUGUUUCUAGCCAUUUCUAGCCGUUAGAACCGGAACUAAAGGGGGCUCUUUAGUACGGGUUGAUAUUACUAAUCGGGACUAAAGAGCCCCCAUUACAGUUGGUUUUUGGACGCGGAACUAACAACUCCUUUAGUCCCGAGUCCAAAAACGACUGAGAUAGAAGGUCCUUUAUCUACCGUGAAUAUUGCCAGAAAGAAUUGAAAGAGACCGCUUGCUAAAAAUAUGUCAUAGAUGCAGACCAAGCUACCAAGGAGGUAGACCAAACAUGAUACACACCAUGCGUACCUUGCUGUGCAGACUAUGCAUGGACAAGAUACCCGACCACAUGUUGGCCUCGAUCACAUCAAAAGAAUCAUGUAGGCCACCAAUAAACUACUUGAAGCGUCAUUCCGUAUCGUAUAUGCAUUGCCGGGUUCAUCUGCAUUACAUUACAUAAAGUAGUAUUAACUAUUUGAAUAAAAUGAAGCAAUUUAAAAGUAAUGUGUUGUACUCUACUAUAGAAAGCCCUAUCACUGUCGGAUCCAGAAACAUCAUUGUUGAUGGUUGUUAAGUACCAAGACGGUCAAUAUUCUCAAGAAUAAUGGAGAAUUGGCAUUUCUUACACACAUAUUUGGUUUUGAACAAUGUAGUUCCACAUGUCCUUGGAGAUUAUUUGGGUGUGGGUGAAAUGAUACAAAAAGAAGGAGAAAACACACUCCCAUGGCGAAGAAACACAACUCCGACCAAUGAGAGAUAGCCACAGGGGCAGCACACGGAUCCAUGGGCCCACAAUCCGCAUCAAACUGUCUUACCAAGGCGGGUAGCACCCACAACCAUGAUUAGGACCCACCUGGAUGUCUACCAAGAAGAAGGUUGUGAGUGGGGCCAGGAGGGGUUCGGCUGAAUCAUCUCUAGCUCCCCUCAUCCCCAGCUGGUGCGUGGCGGUGGUUGAUGGUGUCCCUACAUCGGUUAAAGGAGAUUCCCCCAAAUAUUCCUCUUGUAAACCACCUGUAUGGACCUAUACAUAGAGGGGUGUGCUCUCCAGUCCAACACACACCACAAGUUUAAUCACUCUCUCCCUCUUUAGUUUCCAUGUUUAUGGAGUUAGGCUAGAGUAGCUCUGCUCAAGGUUCCAAGUCCACUUGGAGUUAAGCAUAUGUCUCUUGUAUCGUUAUUUCCUAGAUUGACUUUAUGCUUAGUUCUUAUAUGCAUGAGUUAGUCUAAUAGCCUUGCUCUAUUGAUAUGCUCGGCUUAUAUGCUCAUAUGCUAGUCAUAUACCCUUGCUGCCGUAGUAUAGGCUUAUAUGCUCUCAUGUGUGCCUUUAGACCUUGCUACAGUAUAUACUUGUUGUGUAUACAUACCAUGUAUAGGCUAGUCGAUCUUUACCAUGGCAUUGGUUCAAUAGCCAUGUUUUUGGUGGCUCCAACCCUAGUCACAAUAGCUCGGGACAGCUGGAGUGUUGUUAAAAAUGCAAGAGUGAUGGUUGGGUUGUUUAGCAUCGUUGGAUAUGGGUUUUCCCCACGGGUUUCUAAGAGUAGGCGGCAGCUAGUGACAGCCCUGUCCGUCCUUCGUAAUCCCCCCCACAUUCAAGUACGCCAUAGAAAUUCAUAAAUUAGCAGUAACUACACCGGCAGACCGGCAGGAUAUUGUCUCCCUAUAGUACCUUGGUGCAUAGAACUAGGUCAUAUACACUGUGUGUCUAUGUUUACGCUGAUAUGAUCUGUGCAGUAUAUAGGAUGUAUAUAUGAACCUAGAGCUAACUCCUAGUCCAUUCUCCGUAGCUUAGUUAUCUUGAGAUGAUUCUUCUGUGUGUGUAACACUACCCAUCUUAUCAUUAUCCUUAAUCCUAUCUUGUGUAAUAUAUCUACUCAUCCUAUGAUAUACUCAUAUGCAUAGUAAACUAUUUUGACCUACCUGCCUUCUUUUGGGAAAUACGAUACCCUGGAAUAAUCCUAGGUGAAAUGCUACAACGGUAUAUCCAUGUGCUUGCGGAAUUAUUCAUGACCAUUAAAUAUACCAACAAUGAUCACUGUCGGUUUUGGGCAUCGUUAGUGAAGCGUCGGCAGUGAUGGGCAUCCCCUUCACCAAUGGAGCUGGAACCGGCGGUGAUGGCCAUUAAAAAAAAUGGGACCCCACCCAGCGUACCCUGCGACCCGGCCGGCCGCGCCUCCCAUCAUCCCCGCCGGCCGCCCUUCCUCUUUGCUGGCCGAGCAUGGUUCCGGCCCUCAUCCCUACCGCCUCGCCUCCAUCGCGACCCCCUGCCGAUGUCCUCAUGCCUGGCCCCCCUCGUCUGGCCGGCCACCCUCCCGAUGCAUCCACCGGGGCCCUCGCACCACCAACCACCCUAGCCGAGAGAGAGAGAGAGGAGGGAGGUGAGGCCACACACCUCGUCCUACAACGCCGCUGUUGCUCCUCGGCCCACCGCGCCUCACCCCACACCACAGCCACGCCUCGCCAUCUUACCGGCCGCGACGCCCCAUCUCACCGGCCACCGUUCCUCAACCCCACAUCGGUCAUUGCUGCUCCUUUCCCUACUGCUGCUCUUUGCCGCCGCGAAUGAGGGGCGAGUGGAGGGGGAGGGGCGGGGCAGGAGGAGGGCAAGAUCCGGGAGGAAGGGAGAGAUUUUGGGAGGUGGAGAUGGAAGGAUAUGGCGGAAGGUAGAGAUCCAGAGGGAGAGAGCGGGGGAGAGAGGGGGGCAUGUGGGGAGAGAGCGCAUGUGGGGUGGGGCCGGGCUGGUGGGAUGGAAGGUAGAGGGGCCGGAGGGCGCAGUGCAUUCAACUGGAUUAAGUAAAUAUUUCGGAUUCGAGACCCCAGCUUUAUUAUCACCGCUGGUCCGUAGUACCAUUCGGUGCUGGCUCAUAAUUUAAUUUGAACCGGUGGUGAUGUUUUAUUAUCACUGCUGGUUUCAAUUUUCACCAUCGGAUCAUAUAAAAAUCCGGCGGUUAAAAAUCCGCUGGUUUCGAUGAAAACCGACAGUGAUAGGACGACUGUGAUAGUCUCUUCUCUAGUAGUAGUAUAUUAGUACCGGCUGCCGGAUGGUGUUGCCGACGAGUACUUCUCCAGGGGCGAUUCAGUACUGAUGUUAGCAAAGCAUGUUCUCUAUGAAUUUGGGGGAUGGAAAGCUAGUUCUCUAGUUGUGAUUUGUUACAUAUAUCUCUAUGAUAGUCUAGAAAUUGCAUGUCCUUCGUUGACAUAGUUGAAGCUGCUUCAAGAAUUUACUUCGUGCAGUCGUGCAGCAUAUUGGAUUAUCACCUAGACAGGAUACAUAGGUGAAGCAUUGGAUGUGAUUGUGGCUGAUAAUUAUGCAGGACGCUGUUGCAAUCAACCAUCAAGAAGACUGGAGCGAUGGGGUUGCCUCAUCAACAAUUUUUAUAUAUGGCUGCAGUAUUAUUAAGCCCACGUCAAUAAUUUUUUCUCCGCAGCAUAUAUAUGGUUACUCAGUUCGCUGGAGUAUCGCUGUGGAAAAACAUACGUACUGCGCCUCGGAACUAACUGGCAUUCAGGCCAUCAACGACCAGAUAUUUGGGACAACAAACAAAUAGUAGGUGGUUCCUAAGUUGUAGUCGUAUGUACUAAUGCGCCUCGAUGGGGUUUUCUUCAGAUAUUUUAUUGCCGUUCAAUGAACAAGCAGAUACAUAACCUGUGCAGAAAAUUCCAUCUCCACGCAUGCCACUGCACCAACAAGAUCCUCAGUCGACGAUGAUGGCUCAGCCUGUUCCUUCUGCCACCAAAUCCUCAAUCUUCCCUCCAGCAACGGAGAAUGCACCUUUAGUACCUUCAGUAUCAGAUGUUGCAAUCGGUACCGUGAAACCGAGACUAAAAUCCUUACUUUGCAGGGGGCAAAACAAUCUUGCAAAUAUAUAUUUUGAAUUCCAACAAAAUUUAAGAAAUGUUAAAGAUGACUAGCUGAGAGUCAACAGACAAGAUAUGAUAUUAGGAAUGUGGGAGGAUGAAUGCAUUUGUACAGGGGUCAUACUAUUUCCAGACUCUUCUAUAUUUCCAUAUGACUACCUACUUCAAUGUCACGCGAGCCAUUCAAAAACAUACAUGGUACACUUGUAUGUCUAAUCCAUUAUUGAUUAUUUCCUCUUGUCAUCUCUUACAAGUAUUUCUCCAUACUAUAGAAACGUGCAACACAUUUUUAGGAUAUGGACACGCAUGAUUAAUAUGCUUGGACUAGUAUACAGGUCAUCUUUGGAUGAGUACAUAUGAAUGCCAGGGAGGGACUGAUGGAUAUAAGGAAAAGGGACCAUGCAUAAAUAAUGACAUAUGUCACAUGGCAAUCUUCAUUGCCAUGCAACUCCUAUCAACAAUCAUGGAAUACAUACUACUGCUCCAGAAGGGUGGUGUGCAAAUUUAUUUUACCUCGCGGUGAAAAUCUCCAGAGCAGGCCUGAAGUUAAAAUAAGAGGAGGCAGUCACUAUCGAUCAUGACAGUCUCGAAACUGUACAGCACUAUGCUAGUCCUAGUCCUCAUGUCGUUCGUGCUGUCGUGUAGCAUGAUGGAUUAUUAACUGGGCAGGACACGGAGAUGGCUAGCGAUGACAGAGGAUGACGUACAUGAUAUUCACCUCUGAAAUGAAGCGUAGGCUAAUGAAGCACAAUUGCAUGUGAGUGUGGCAGAUAUUUAUACAGGACAGUGAUUGCAAUAAUCGACCAUCGAGAUCGAAGACAGGGGCGAUGGGCUUGCCUCAUCAAUAAUUCGCGCAACCAGACAAGCUGCAGACUCAAUAUGGUACGAAGCUAGUUGGUCAGCCCACAUGCUCUGAUAUAACAUUGGCAUCUGCUGAUCUACAGUAUAUAUGACCAGAAAUAUUGUGCCACCUCAAUAAUUUUCUGAAGUAUCGUGGGGAAGAACCUACUCGUACUAUGCCUCGGAACUAACUGACAUAUCGGCCUAGGCGGUCUAGGCCGAUUGGACUGGCUCUUCCUUGUGGCUUCUCACGUCCCCUUCGUUCCUGAGUAAUCUCAGGUGUUCUGGAGUUUUCUUUUCACUUGCAUGUGGGUCUCAUAUAUCAAUAGCUUCGGGAUAAGAAUGCCUCUUGAUAACCUUCCAAAUCGUCGCUUGAUUCACUUUGAUUCCAAAAUCAUCUUGCCAUAGAGACUUAGGCCCUAAGGCAUCAUGGAGGAUUGCUCGCCAAGAAUGAGCACCAUUGGGCUCCUGAGGACCCUAGGCCGAUCAGCCUGUGCUCUAUAGGUCAAUUGGCCCAGGCCCUCUCUGAGCCCAUUGGCCUUCA